CGGCGAUGUUAGACGCCAGCCCUCUUUUUGGGGGGUAUUUAAAGCUCAGCUGCGGCUGAUACCACUGACAGGGCUUUCCAAGCCCAGGAACUAUCUAUUGCUGCAGGUGCAGCUCUGUUACAUUCCACCACUGCAGUGAGAUUGGCUGGACGGUUCUGACUGCUCUAUCUGUCUGAGGAGACCAUGGAGACUGAUAAGCCUUGAGGAUCUCUCUUUCCUGCAGUCAGCUCUAUUUUAUGACUCUACUCUUUUAGUUACACCUCUUCAGGUACUGUAGCCCCAUUUAAAAAUUGUCAUUUUGACAUAAAAAUCAAUAAUCUCUUCACCCCAUUUUUUUGCGGAUUGAAGUAUUCUAAUGCAUUUAUGCAUAUCUAUACUUUUUGCUUUAUUUACUGCAGCCAUCCGGUUCUGUGUGGGAUCGAUCAAUUCCUGGAAGGCAUCCUGUGUGAGGCAUAUAUAUGGGAAUUUAAAUUUCCCAUAUUCCUUUCAUUAACCUUCAUUGUAUUUCAAUAUAUAUUUUUUCUUGCUGCGUACUGUGGAUCCGCUGCUUCCUGGCAUGCCUUGUAUUAAGCUCCUGAUGAAGCCCCGUUUGGGGCGAAACAUGUUGGGCAAUGGGCAUUCCAUGUACAAGCCAUGAACGUGGCUCUCUCUGAAGCUACGCACAUCUGUAUACUGUGUGGUUGUGUUUACUUCCACGUUUUUAUGUAUGUGUUUUUUCAA